GAUGAACGCUGGCGGCGUGCCUAAUACAUGCAAGUCGAGCGAACAGACGAGGAGCUUGCUCCUCUGACGUUAGCGGCGGACGGGUGAGUAACACGUGGAUAACCUCCCUAUAAGACUGGGAUAACUUCGGGAAACCGGAGCUAAUACCGGAGAAUAUAUUGAACCGCAUGGUGGAAUGGUGAAAGACGGUUGUGGGGGCAGUAAUAGAGGGAUCCGCGCCGGAUUAGGUGGUUGGUGCGUUAACAGGUUACCAAGGGAACGAUGCGUAGCCGACGUCAGAGGGUGAUCGGCCACACUGGAACUGGGACAGGGUCCAGACGCCUGCGGGACGCAGCAGUAGGGAAUCUGCCGCAGUGGGGGAAAGCCUGGCUGAACGACGCCGCGUGAGUUGUGAAGGUCUUCGGUUCGUAAAGACCUGUUUUUGGGGAAGAACAACUGUGUAAGUAACUGUGCACGGCGUGACGGUACCUAGUCAGAAAGCAACGGCUAACUACGUG
rnacentral:rRNA from 1 species